AUAUAUAUAGUUUUUAAAUAAAUAAAAAAUGAAGUUAUAGAGUGAGCGAAUCGCUGGGGAUAAAUUGAGUGGGAGCAAAAAAACCUCUACAACACACACCUUCCCAAUUCGCUUCACACAAGAUCACCAUUUUUCUCUCUUCUUCUUCCCUCCGCCCCAUGGCCAGACCUUUCCCAACCAUUUCAAAUCUCUCUCAUCCUCUCCAUCUUCUAUUUUUCUCAACUCAUUUCUCAUUUCUCAUCCUUUCAACCUCAGUUAUCCUCUCCAUCUUCGCCCUCCUCAUUUUCCUCUGCACAUCUUCAAGAAAAUCCAAUAAAUCGCAGCAGGGGAGGAAUAAUUUUGUUUCCAAAAUGAACAGUAACAUCAGUUCUAGAGCAAUUUCAAUGGCCAAGAUGAUUUCGUGGAGGAAAGUGGAAGCAGCCGAGGAAGAGGAAGAAGAAGAAGAAGAAAGAGGAUCAGGAGGUUGUGAUUUUAUUGAUAAAGAUGAAGAAGAAGAGGUUUGGAGGAAAACGAUUAUUAGAGGUGAACGAUGUCGUCCGUUAGAAUUUUCUGGUAAAAUUGAUUAUGAUUCUGAUGGAAAUCUGUUGUGUGAUUCAAAUAGGGAUUUCAAAUAAUCUGAUUCUUCUUUUUCUCCUGCGCUCUUUCUAAUUCUUCAAAUAAUCUGACUUUAAAUAACCCUGAAAACGUACAAACAUCAAUAGAAAUGUUUACAUCAAAAUUUAGUACUAUGAACAUAUGUAAUUUAGUAUAAAUAUACGCAUGCUAGGGAUUUUUUUCACAAAAUCAUGAGAAGGCCUUACUAUAAAUUGAUUUGAUGCACUUACAUUUGAUUGACAAAGUAAUUACAACUUUUGAAAAAAGUUAUUUUAUCUAUAUUUUUGUUCAUAUUUUUCAUUUCAAUAAAAUUAAUAAAGACGAGUGUAUGGUUUGCUUAAAAAUUUUCUUACAUUUAAAGUCAAUUAGGGUGGCCAACAAUCUAUCUCAGUUGGAAAAAAACUUUCCAAUAAUAAAAUAGAUUUCCAAAAUAAUAUAUGUCCGGAUAAAAUCAUAUUGAUUAAGAGUCGGGACAAAUUUAUCAAGGGAUCCGAGAACAUAUGUCCUCUUUAUCUUAUUAGUUUUUGUAUUAAUAUUAAUUUAAAAGUAUCAUAUUACAAUAUAUAUUAAAUAAAGUUUUAUUUUAAUUAAAUUUUAAUUAUGGUGCAAUGGUUUACACUAAAACCAUCAAAUUAAGAAUCGAU
rnacentral:lncRNA from 1 species